UAGCCUACGGGACGCAGCAGUGGGGAAUAUUGGGCAAUGGGCGCAAGCCUGACCCAGCAACGCCGCGUGAAGGAAGAAGGCUUUCGGGUUGUAAACUUCUUUUCUCAGGGACGAAGCAAGUGACGGUACCUGAGGAAUAAGCCACGGCUAACUACGUGCCAGCAGCCGCGGUAAUACGUAGGUGGCAAGCGUUAUCCGGAUUUACUGGGUGUAAAGGGCGUGUAGGCGGGGACGCAAGACAGAUGUGAAAACCACGGGCUCAACCAGUGGCCUGCAUUUGAAACUGUGUUUCU
rnacentral:rRNA from 1 species